GACUGAGCAUGCUCAGUCUGCUCCCCUCUCUCUCUCUCCUUCAGGAGGGAGAGAGAGGGGAGCAGACUGAGCAUGCUCACUCUGCUCCU